AUUGAACGCUGGCGGCAUGCCUUACACAUGCAAAUCGAACGGUAACGGGCCUUCGGGUGCCGACGAGUGGCGCACGGGUGAGUAAUACAUCGGAACGUGCCCGAUCGUGGGGGAUAACGAGGCGAAAGCUUUGCUAAUACCGCAUACGAUCUACGGAUGAAAGCAGGGGACCGCAAGGCCUUGCGCGGACGGAGCGGCCGAUGGCAGAUUAGGUAGUUGGUGGGAUAAAAGCUUACCAAGCCGACGAUCUGUAGCUGGUCUGAGAGGAUGAUCAGCCACACUGGGACUGAGACACGGCCCAGACUCCUACGGGAGGCAGCAGUGGGGAAUUUUGGACAAUGGGCGCAAGCCUGAUCCAGCCAUGCCGCGUGCAGGAUGAAGGCCUUCGGGUUGUAAACUGAUUUUGUACGGAACGAAAAGCCUUCUUUUAAUACAGGAGGGUCAUGACGGUACCGGAAGAAUAAGCACCGGCUAACUACGUG
rnacentral:rRNA from 1 species